ACUGUUACUGUCUUUCGGGCCCCCCUGAGGAUGAGGGCCCUGGGCACGGGCCCCGUGUGCCCGCAUGGUGGAGACGGUACUGCUUUGAAUGCUUGACAUCAUAUACAAGAACGUUACUUACACGCCAAGGACACGCAAGCGAGGCGAAUGUAAACCUUACUUGAAAGCGUAAAGGUUACUUUUACUUUGACAGCGUACGCAAUAAAUCGUAUAGCUGUCCUUGGCGCCGUGGGCAUCAGUAGUAACGACGCCUUUAGGUGUUCUUGGUGUUCAAGAGGUUAAAAUCGUUAUCCCAAGGUAUUUGGAUCACGGUCGCGAGGUAUUAGUCCACGGUACUGAGGUAUUCAGACCACGGUCACGACUCAUUGAGACCGCGGCCAUGAUGCAUUUUGACAGCUGCGGAAAUUAUGGACCAGUUGACAAGGCGUUUGAAUUUGAACGAACAGAGGAAAUUUAGACCAACAGAGGAACUAAAUGUAUGUGAAUAACCGACAACCGACUGGUAGGUCAAAUCGAGCCGUUUAUAAAGCCUUAAAAAAAGGAUUGAGAUUUUUUAUUUCAUAAAGGAAGCCUAAAUUUCCAGGGUUUUAGAUCAUGAUAAAGUUGCAAAAGGGGCAAGGUAAACAAAGUUAAUCGACGAUAUUAACAUGUUCUGAUAAUUAUGAGUCCUGCGAUGUACAUAUCUGUAACGAAUAUUUGGCAGAACAUUUACGACAAAAAAAAAUCUUUUUAAAGGAAAAGCCUAAUGGUUAUGAUAUUGAUAUUAAUUUAUUUUUAAUCAAACACUACCUUCUAAAACAAGAAAAAAUAUCGCAUGUUAUUUUUGUAAGCGCCCGUCGGUUGAAAUGUUUUCAAGAAAUUAACUUUGUAUUUAUUAAUAUUUUAUAUUCCGAACGAGAUUGUAAAGUACCUAUAAUGAAAUGAAUUGUUGUGGAUAUUUGAUUGAUAAUUUUAUAGCCCUAUAGGCGUUGUAUGAAUUGUUUUACUGUUGUAUGAGACGCAUGCAGUAUUGUAUUGUUAUUAAAAUUAAGCGAGUUUUUAUAUUGUGCCUUUAUAGUUUGACACUAUCGAUAUAAUAAUGACUCAGUGUGUAAGUAAUAAUACUUUAUGCAACUGCUACAUUAUGAAUGGAAUUAAAAUACGAGUGUGAAUUUACGAACAUCACACGAGUGACCUGUCAAUGUUUAGAAGCAAAGUUGAAGCCAAUAAUCGUGUCAUUAUUAUGUGAUAGUGUCACAAUAAUAUCUAAUUUGAUCUGCUCAAAAAAAUAUUCAUAAUUAGUAGGUAUGUCAGUGGGCAUAAUCGUUGGUCGAUGACAUAUAUCGUAAAUAUAACUAUAACAACAAAAAUGUUUAAUUAAUGAUAAUGAUAUUGAAUAAGUACAGCGUAAUUUGUAAGGCCUGUGCACACCGCUUGCGUAUGCUGACGUGACAGAUGUGCAUCUGAGCGUUUGUUAGGGUUCCAUGCUUAAGAGAAGUGGCACACCGGUUGCGGGACAUGUGCGUGCACGGCUCCAAGAUUUUAGUGCCCACGUGCACGUCUGCGCACACGUCGCCGUUGUGUUCUGGCCUGUGUUAUAUUAUAUGUAACUUAUUUACAAAACUGAUAGUUAAGAUUACAUUUUUGCUGUAAAACUAGUCAAACGUUUUGGAAAUAAGUCACAAAUACCUAAAGCUCAAUUUAUAUGUUAGUUCUUAGCAGAUCAAAUUGACUAAAGCGUUGUAAAAUAAGCUCUAACAUCUUUAUCUUAAGACGUAUUUUAAGAAAUCGUGUGCCUUAACUCGGAGAUUAUAAUAGGGAUCUGAAGUUAUUCUCGUGUGCCUUCGUAGUUAGUUAAUUUUUAAUUGAAUUUUAUAAACUUAUCAAUGUUUUUUAUACAUUUUUGGCUACAAUUUUUUAGUAAUUUAAUAAACUGUUGUAUACGUGUCACAAUUAGGUACAUUCGGUCGAGAACAUUUUAAACGGCGCCAAUAGUAAACAGACCUGAUAAAAAAAACUCAUAUUUGUUAUACUUAACUAAUUAUUUAAUUUUGUCCAUCAGUAGAUUUAUGAAUAUUUUAAGCUACUUACCACCCACGGGCAAUAAAGAAUUUUUCGAUAUUAAACUUUCGUGAGACAUAUUUUAAAUUGUUUAUACGACAACGGUUUCACUCACUUGAAUUUUUAGUCGCUAUUGGCGACAUGUUUCGGGCCCGUCGGGGGUCCUUCCUCAGGCGCUCGUAAGAAUUUUUCAUUGACCCUUUUCCAGGCCGCACCAAUCUACAUUAUUUACUCAAAAAAAUCAUAUAUAUUCCAAUUAAUCCAACUUUGAUGAUUCAUUUGAAGACAAGUCACAUUUCCCGACCCUCCGAUCUAAUUUGAAUCUUAAAUCGGAAGGCUUAAGUUGAAAUUCUAUUGGCGCGUAUGUGGCUGAUAAAUAGUACUAUGCCUGGAAAGGGUAAGAAGCUACAAACACCCGAGAUUUCAAGAGAUAAGAUUGGGGUAACUACAAAAGCUGGGUAGUUUCGAAAGUUGCAAAUGUCUUCCAAACUAGAAGCACUUUCCAUUGUAGCAACAAUAAGCAUGCCAUGUUAUAAGCGUUGCCAGGCGUGGCUCACUCCGCAAUUUCGUCGCUUUGCUGCAGGUAGCUAAAAGUACAUCCGUUCCACCCCAAUUUUGGGGAAAGCCAUAAGCCGCGCGUGGCACUGUCGCCACCUAGCGGCCAUAUCUGUGCUGAUUGUAACAGACGCGUUUUGUUACGAGAGUGAGUCUUCUGUACCUAGUACUAUUAUUUAUUCUAUGGCGUUGCAGUAGCCUAAGUGUUGCUAUAGUAAUAAUUGCUUCUGGUUUAGUAGAUAUUACCCAUUUUCUAAAUUAAUUAAAGCUACCCCAAUCCACCUUACAUAGGGUCAUUGCGCUAGUUUUCGUCCAUUUGACUAUAAACCUACAUUGCUGUACAGCCUGUACAUGGACUUGUUGCAAUCCUUUCCUUAAUGUCUAACUAAACAAGAUAUCUAUCUACAUAAAAAUGAUAUUACUCAAGUAGCAAAUUAAAAAUGAAAUAUAUUAUUUGCUAAUCCGUGGACGAAAACUUGCGCACAACCCUUAGAAUCCUAUGCAAAUUGGUAUUUUAAACGCUCUAAAAAUAUGUAAGUAUGUAAUUCCCAUUUUUACGUGUUCUAUGUCUGUGUUCAUUCAGUAAAUCUUAUGAUUGUAUUAUAUCUAGUCGAAAGGCAACUCCAUAUUAAGUCUAAGUAACGAUUUUCUUAUGUUUUGCGCAAACUUGUUAAGCUCAAGUUUUUUUUAUGCAUUUUAUUUUCCAUCGGUCAAACCAAUGAUAUCUAAUGCAAUAACUCCUACUGACUUUUUGAGUAUUUGUAUUUCUUUGUGAAAUAAUUGAUAUUUAUAUUAUUAAAUCAUUUUUUUUGUA